GACGGGGGAUGCAAGUGGUAUCCGGAAUCACUGGGCGUAAAGCGUCUGUAGGUGGUGAUGCAAGUCACUGGUGCAAAACUCUGGCUCAACCGGAGGAAAGCCAGUGAAACUGCAUGACUAGAGUGUGGGAGAGGUAGAAGGAAUUCCCUGAGUAGCGGUGAAAUGCGUAGAUACAGGGAAGAACACCGGAGGCGAAAGCGAUCUACUGGAACACAACUGACACUGAGAGACGAAAGCUAGGGGAGCGAAUGGG
rnacentral:rRNA from 1 species